GAUUUGGGAGCUUGCUCCCAAAUCUUAGCGGCGGACGGGUGAGUAACACGUGGGCAACCUGCCCUGCAGACUGGGAUAACUCCGGGAAACCGGAGCUAAUACCGGGUAAUACAUAGCACCGCAUGGUGCAAUGUUGAAAGUUGGCUUUCGAGCUAACACUGCAGGAUGGGCCCGCGGCGCAUUAGCUAGUUGGUAAGGUAAUGGCUUACCAAGGCGACGAUGCGUAGCCGACCUGAGAGGGUGAUCGGCCACACUGGGACUGAGACACGGCCCAGACUCUACGGGAGGCAGCAGUAGGGAAUCUUCCGCAAUGGACGAAAGUCUGACGGAGCAACGCCGCGUGAGUGACGAAGGCUUCGGGUCGUAAAGCUCUGUUGUUAGGGAAGAACAAGUACCGUUCGAAUAGGGCGUACCUUGACGGUACCUAACCAGAAAGCCACGGCUAACUACGUGCCAGCAGCCGCGGUAAUACGUAGGUGGCAAGCGUUGUCCGGAAUUAUUGGGCGUAAAGCGCGCGCAGGCGGUCUUUUAAGUCUGAUGUGAAAGCCCACGGCUCAACCGUGGAGGGUCAUUGGAAACUGGAGGACUUGAGUGCAGAAGAGGAGAGUGGAAUUCCACGUGUAGCGGUGAAAUGCGUAGAUAUGUGGAGGAACACCAGUGGCGAAGGCGCUCUCUGUCUG
rnacentral:rRNA from 1 species